rnacentral:lncRNA from 1 species
CUCGGCGGCGUCGCCGGCUGGCGAUUCCGAGCGCGGUCGCCCGCCAGGCCCGGCCGCGUAAUAGGCGGCGAGCGCGUCGUGCGACGUUGCCGGCGUGGGAACCUCGGCCGGCUCAAUGUCCAGGGCGUAAAAACUGCCCUGACGACUGCCGCCGACAGUGAUGACGGGCACGCGCGCCACCUCAUAGGCGCCGGGCGUGUAGGGUGCCCGACGCACAUAGCCAAAGAGCCGCCGCACGACAAAGGCCACGGGCCGCGGGACGCGCGCCGGUGCCCACAGUUCCGGCGGUAUCACGAGCAUCUGACCGUCGGCGAGCAUAAAGGCGCGAUCCAACACUUGUUCGAUGGGCGACGGCUGUGGCCCUUGCAGCCCGGCCACCGCACGCGCAUAGGCGUCGAGGGCCUCUUGCGCAUCUCGCGCUGCCGGCGCGAGGAUGAUGGCGGCGCCCAGCGGGAAGACGCUGGGCGUGAGCACGAUAUUGCCCAAGUCGCCGCUGUUCUCAAUGUGAUCGGCAGCGGCGGCCAGCGGUGGCGGCAGGGAGGCAUCGGUGGGGUGCUCGCUGCCGCCCCAUAGGUUCCAAAGCACGUCAUAGGGCACCAGGGCCUCUGUGGUCGGCAUCGACGACCCGCCCGCCACCGCAUAGCCAUAGGCGACGCCCGGCAGCGCGGGGUCGGUCGAGUAGGUUGCGAGGCCGAUAAAGGGCUGCGCCGGUGUCUCUUCGAGGACCUCGUCGCGCGCGAGGCCCAACGUCGUGCCAAACACGUCGGCAUAGAUGUUGCGGCCCGACGCGUCGUCGCUGCCGAUGCGCGUGACCAGUGCGCGCACCAGACGACCCGAACCGGGCGGCUGCUCAUAUGUGAUACGCACUAGGGGGCCGCCGGCACCCGUCGGCAACGGCGCCGGUGGCCUCGCCGCCGUACCUGGGGCAGUGCCGGCAAGCGUCAUUACUCCAGUGGGAAUGGCUGGCCCCUCGGUGGCGGCUGUGUACCACUCGCCAAAGAGCGCCGGCGGCACGACGAUGGGCGACGCGCCGACGCCAAUGGCCUGCGCAAUCUCGCCGCCAGACUCGGGCGACACGGUGGCGUAGCGCAGCCGCUGGCCGGCGGGAUCGGCUGCCCAGGCGGCAGCAUUGCCUGCGGACGACAACCCCGGAGGACCCGAUAGGGCCGGGUGCAUGAUGGCACGGAGCCGUCCGACCGGCAGCGGCUCCACCCCGCGCUCUGGAUCCACCUGACGCCAGCGCGCCUUGAACCGCGCGGCGUUGACAUCAACGGCCUCGGCGACGGCGCCCGAUACGUCUUCGGGCAUCACAUCGGGCGCGAGGGCGUCGAGCACAACAUUGGUAAGUGCGUCGUGGAGCACGUUUGUGCCACCCAGCCGAUCCAGGUGGUUGAGGAGCCGCGCGUCGACGCAGCGUGCGACGACGCCGUUGGCGCCCACGACGCGAAACACAAACGGCGGCGGCACGUCGGCCACCUGGUCGGCGUUGGGACACGGCACCAAGGCCGGCAGGCUUCGGCGCGCCCAUCCCGGCAGCGCGGCCAGUCGCUCAAAGUCCGCCUCAUCAAUCUCGUAGCCCAGUGCUGCGGCGAGCCUUUUACGCGCCUCCUCUCGGUUUUCGAAGAUGCGCUGUGCGCGUACUCUGGCCUCGUGCACCCGGCGCAUUUCGGCGGCGGUCUCGUCGGGUGCUUCCAUGCUGUUGCCGGUGGCGUGGUUCUGCUGCCGACUCGCUUUUUUUGUUCGAUGGCGUGCGUCGGUCGGCUUUGGGCGCCUCUCUUGCGCUCUCUUCUUUUUUUUUUUAAAAAAAAAGAUGGUUCUGCUCUCACGGGCGCAG